CUUGAAAAAGCGUAUCUUAAUUAAGCGAUAGAAGGUACGUCUCUUGACACACUUGUUACAGUUUUAUUGAGCAGAGGAAUUUGAGAGAUUGUAUCUCUCUCCUGACGGCUCUCUCUCGACGGCUCAGCCUAGAAUCCUUUCUUCUUCUUCUUCGUUACCGAGCACCACUCAGUUUUCUUCUUCUCUCUAUCCGCUCGCUCAUCCAGGUUUUGAAGCAAAACAUGAAUACAAUGUUUGGUUUGAAGGAUCCCCUAUUUCCAAGCAUAAGCCUUCUGCUUCUGCAUUCCACCCAUCUUCCAAGCCGAAUCCUUUUGAUUCAGAUGAUGAUUUGGGUGAUCAUAACAAGCACACCUUAAAGCCAUCCAACAAGAUUUGUGUUCAUCAGGGGAUUUGGAAGUUUGUUCAAACCCGGUUCGUGUAAUCUGAUCGACGACCAGGUUCCUUGUAUAACCAACGGAAGACCCGACGUUGAGUUUCAGAAAUUGAAGUGGAAGCCAAAGCAAUGCACUUUACCAAGGUUGAAUGGUGGCAAAUUGCUGGAGAUGAUUAGAGGAAGAAGGCUUGCGUUUGUUGGAGAUUCGCUGAACAGGAACAUGUGGGAAUCUUUGGUUUGUAUUCUUAAAGGAUCAGUGAAAGUUAAGAGUCAAGUCUUUGAAGCUCAUGGACGACAUCAGUUCCGUUGGGAGGCUGAGUACUCUUUUGUCUUCAAAGUAAGUUUCUUUCAGCAAUCAACAAUAUGUUUCAUUACUUGUUGAUAGGAUUAUAACUGUGUGCAGUUGAUAGGAUUAUAAUUGCACUGUGGAGUUCUUUGCAUCACCUUUCUUGGUUCAAGUAUGGGAACAAAUGAUCCUAGUUAUAUUAUGACUUUGUUUUAUGUUUUUAUUUAAAAAUCUAUGUUUAUAAUAUUAUCUUUUAAUA